rnacentral:tRNA from 1 species
AACUAACUUAGUUUAACCAAAACGUCGGACUUUCAAGCCAAAAAAGCUAACCAUCAGCAGUUAGUUA